rnacentral:rRNA from 1 species
GCAGUCGAACGAGAAUCUGCUGAAGGAGGAUUCGUCCAACGGAAGUAGAGGAAAGUGGCGGACGGGUGAGUAACGCGUGAGGAACCUGCCUUGAAGAGGGGGACAACAGUUGGAAACGACUGCUAAUACCGCAUGAAGCAUAGGGGUCGCAUGAUUCUUAUGCCAAAGAUUUAUCGCUUCAAGAUGGCCUCGCGUCUGAUUAGCUAGUUGGCGGGGUAACGGCCCACCAAGGCGACGAUCAGUAGCCGGACUGAGAGGUUGAACGGCCACAUUGGGACUGAGAUACGGCCCAGACUCCUACGGGAGGCAGCAGUGGGGAAUAUUGGGCAAUGGGCGCAAGCCUGACCCAGCAACGCCGCGUGAAGGAAGAAGGCUUUCGGGUUGUAAACUUCUUUUAAGAGGGAAGAGCAGAAGACGGUACCUCUAGAAUAAGCCACGGCUAACUACGUGCCAGCAGCCGCGGUAAUACGUAGGCGGCAAGCGUUGUCCGGAUUUACUGGGUGUAAAGGGCGUGCAGCCGGGUCUGCAAGUCAGAUGUGAAAUCCAUGGGCUCAACCCAUGAACUGCAUUUGAAACUGUAGAUCUUGAGUGUCGGAGGGGCAAUCGGAAUUCCUAGUGUAGCGGUGAAAUGCGUAGAUAUUAGGAGGAACACCAGUGGCGAAGGCGGAUUGCUGGACGAUAACUGACGGUGAGGCGCGAAAGUGUGGGGAGCAAACAGGAUUAGAUACCCUGGUAGUCCACACUGUAAACGAUGAAUACUAGGUGUGCGGGGACUGACCCCCUGCGUGCCGCAGUAAACACAAUAAGUAUUCCACCUGGGGAGUACGAUCGCAAGGUUG